UGUCCCCUGACAUCCACACUCAGAUCACAGCACCUGCGCUCGUGUGUGUACACACACACACACACACACACACACACACACACACACACACACACACCCUCCAAUAAAAUCAAUAAAUGUAAACACAAAAGGUCUUCGACAAAACAGUGGCAGCUGUGACGAAUAUGUCAGCUUGCCGGGACCUAGGGGGAAAUCAGCUGAGCGCCAGCACUCACCCUUCUCUGGUUCCCGGCUGCAGAUGCGAUGUGACCAGCUGCCUCGCACUCCUGCCACCACGCCUUCCCCACCACGACGGACUGCACCCUCCAACUGUGAGCCAAAUAAACCCUUUCUUCCUUAAGUUUCUUUGUCAGCCAUUUUCUCCCAGCGAUGAAAAAAGACACCAAUUCAACAGCUCACACUUACUAAGCUCUGUGUGACGGGUACUGCUCUGAGCGUUUAAUGUUAUUCACUUAUCGAUCCUCAUAGGCACACAGCUUUAGGGUACCACUGUCAUCAUCCCAUCCAGCAGGUGAGUAGAAAGGUGUACAGAGAGGAAUGCAAACAUGUUUAGGGCUUCACAGUAAAUAGCAGAGCAAGACAGGAGCCCUGACAGUGGAGCCGAGACCCUGCUUCCCAACUUUGCUGCACAAGCCUGUCUGCCUUCCCUGCAAAGAUCCGAACAAGAGUGAUGGUUACUAGCCCCACCUCCCACCUACAGAUCCAGGGCAUGUCUUCCCAUGUACCUGCUCUUUGCUUCAUUGCCAAAGGCAUGUUUAAUCACCUGUCUAGCGUUUCCUUCCCAGUCGGCACUGUUAGGAGCCACAGAUGGGAAAUGGGACAGAUGACGGCAGAGGCAGUGAUGUCGGAGAUCAGAUCGACAACAGAGAAGGAACAGCUCUAACAAUUCCGUACGGCUGUCUCCUAGUCUACCAUUUCUUGCUUCUGCAGCCGGUCUCCGUGGCACCCUAAUGAGAGAGAAGAGAGAAAGGCAUGGCAGCAAACAAGACCAGCCUCUGCAGUUAUCACUGAACACCCACCGCGCAUGCGGUGGCCAGUGUUUCAGAGCCUGGGACCAAAAGAGAGAGCAGGCCUGCGAAGAAAAACAAACUCGAUCAAGACCCCAAGAUGGAAACAGCCACACCUUAGCAGAGUCAGCCCUUGCCUUCUUGAAGCUCAUCACAGUGAUGUUGGAGGUGAGACACACUUUCAGCAAGUCCUUUACAUGUGUGUACAAAGCGUGCCAUCACAGAGGAGAGCUGGGGCUUCUGGAUCAACAGCCAGCAUUAGCAAGUGGGUGUUUAGACAGCUUAGUCAGGGCUUGGGGGCUCAUUGCCCCAGUGGGACAGUAGUAGCACCCACUCAGAGGCAGGAAGGCGCCUCUAAGACUCCAACUUGGCCACUGGCCAGUCACUGUAGCUUGGGCAAGUUGCCUCUCCAGACCUCAGUCUUGCAUCUAGAAAGUGGGAAUGCUGCUACUUAGCUCUCAAGGUGCUGGGGAUGAGUGGAGUCCAACAGCCUCCAUAUGCUUCCCCUGGGGUCACAUCCCGUGCUGUGGCUUCUUCAUAAGGGUGGGGAGCCAGAUAAACAUGGUUGAAUCUGUAACCUGCUUACCUCCAUUCAUGCACUGAGAUAACAGCAUGGCUCUGUCAUCUCAUGGAUAGUCCUAACUAUCUGUAUCUCUUUGUAUCAUCUAUAGUCUAUGUAUGCAUUUGAGUGUUUACACAUGCUGCUGGUCUCAUCAUCCAUCCCCUGCUGACCUUUGCAUCCAUGUCCUGUCUUGUAUCUACAACUGGAGUUAUUCUAUUUUCUGGCUCCUUGAAGCCAGCAGGGGUGCAGGAAACUCACAAGAUGUCCUUGGGGAAGCUUCUAGACUUUGAGUGUGGUCUCCAGAUGACAAUGAGCACAGUACAGGGUCCCCAUUCAGAGAACUCUAGUAACAAUUUGAAGGAACACUGAGGGAACUCUUCCCCAAGCUCACCUCCAGAUGAGAAUAUGGCUGGUCAAUACCAGGACCACAGUUAGAUACCAAGCUUGAGCAGAGACCAGAAGAGGCUCUAGGACUCCUGCACAUAGACCUUGGGUCACAAUGUGCAUGUGAUGCUUUAGGCCAGAUACCAGUGGUGACUUGGUGAUGGCAUUUGCUGUGUAUAAGCAUUUCUUCCUGGAGGAAGAGUAGCUAAGAAUCAAGACAGUAAAUGAAACACACAAAUCUUAGGAAGUAAACAAAACUCACAAGGUUCAGGAAGCUCAUGAAACUUAGAGGAUUUACAAGGCUCCUCUCUGAGGUUGUAUCAGCAGUGCCAUAUUGAAGGGAGAGUGGGUGCUAAUCAGCUAGGCUGCUUGUGAGUCUUGCAGGGAGCUGUAGGGAUGUUGCUUUCAUGAACCAUCAUCCACCUCUCAUAUUGGGGUGGACUCUUUGGUGACACAGCUGAUUUUGAGUCACAUAUGCUCCUGUACAUAACCCCCAUAAACCCACUGAUUCACUUAGAUGAAGCUAGAAUUGGUUAUGAGCAUUUCUUUGGUUUGUUGGUGGUGCCUUAUUCAAGUGUCCCCAAGAAAUGUUAUUUAACAGUUGUAGAGGAUGACAGACCCCUUGUGGAGGGUCUGUCAUGCAAUGAUUUCUAAAACAUGGUGCAGGGCAUGGAAGAAGGCAGGUGGGCUAAGUCACCCUGGCCUCUGGCUGCCCUCCUCAAACCCACAGAAGCAAGGGUUCCAAGAGACUCUGGCCUUCUACAAUGUUGGUCUCGCUAAGGUGCCUGACUUUGGAAUGAGAAAUGCCUCUGAGAGCCUCUCCAGAAGGGCAGACACUCCAAACUCUGGGCUCUGGGCUCACAGGCUCCAAGGCUGACAGCUUCUAGAUGGUACGCCCCUUAUCUGUCAGGACUGGGGACAGCAGUGUCAAGAGCUGUAACUGUCUCUGUCCCCAUUCCCGCCUGAUGUUGAGCUGAGUGGAGACUCUCGGGCCCUGCAUGGCAUGCAGGAAGCAAAGCUCAGGCUUCACUGUCUGCCUUGAAUGACACAUGCCACUGCCAGGUUCUGCUAGCCCCUUCUGUAGCCAGGAAGGGGACCAGUAUGUGUUCAGGGUCUGCAAUUUACUUUCAGUAACACGGCUGAAGCGGUUUCUGUGUCCCUGAGAGUCAGGAAAUUACUCCUUUUCUUGUUCCCACAUGCAUUUGUACACCACCCAAACCCAUUCCAAUCAAUUCAGAACCUCCUGGGCCCCCAGUUUUGUCCCCAUCACAGAGAAUCCAAGAUUAAUUCCAGAGACUUGUUGGAAGACUAGCAUUCCUAUUAUUGUCAAGAAUAUUACAAACGGGGGUUGGGGGUGAGGGCUGGGGAGCUGGCUCAGGUGGUAAAGUGCUUGACAUGCCAACAUAAGGUCCUGAUGCUGACCCCUAGAACUCAUGUGAAAAGCUGGACUUGGUGGCACAUGCUUGUAAUCCCAGUGCUGGGGAGCUGGAGACAGGAGGAUCUCCGACAUUCACUAGCCAGCCAGCCUAGCCUACCAACAACGUGGGCGGCUUCUGAGGAACCACACACCUGAGAUUGACCUCUGGCAUCUACAUACAUGUACAUAUAGAUACAUGUGCACCCCCCCCAACAAUGUACCUGACCUCCUUUCCCCCAAGAAAGCAUACCUUGAACAAGUUCCACGGUGUAGAAAGCAGGACUGUGCAGGUAUAUGGCACAUCCCAUUUAAUCCCUUCUAUUCUGGGUGACUACAGCAGUUCCUGUGAGGUGUUUUGGACAGUGUCUAGCACCCAGAAUGGCUUCCUGCUCAAGUAGAGGACUUCACUGAUUGUGGUACCCACUGUUGUGGCCUCGGCUUGCAUUGUGUGACCCUUCCAGUGACCUGCAGAACACUGCUCUGGGAUUUUAUUGAUGCAUGGGGAGGGGUCUGAACAGGCCCACAUUAUCAGUCCCUGACUCACAGGCUGACAUAUGACAUAGGCAACUGACAGUCCAGGGCUCACUGCCGGGUGUGAAGGACUCACGAGGUACCCACCUUACCCCCUGGUGGUCUACUGGAUUCAAGUGGCUUUAGAAGGAGCAGGUACCAGGAGCCUGUGGAGCCAGGGCCACUGACAGUGUAUUCACACUCUGCCCCUGACCAGACCAGGCUGGUCCAAUUGUCCGCAGCUUCUCUUCCUGGACAGGGAGGCUGGUCUCCUGUGGUUUGAAGACCUGGCAGAGGCUGGCAGUGGGGAGCAGGGAAGACACAGCCAUUGACGGGAUUGCGGCAUUUGCUCUCUUGCUAUCACAGGACAUGGUCGCCUCAGCUCCAGAGAAAACAUGCCCUGGCCGUCAGGGUUGAAGGGCCUAGAUGAAGUGUGCUCCUAGGGGCUAGUGAUGCACUUUGUACAAUGCACAUAGCGGGGUGGGUCCUAAUGACCUCUGAGCCCUGUGACCUCUAUGCCCUGCGACCUCUGAGCCAUCGAUGCAGAAUCUAUCUCCCCAGAGCUCUCAAACAACUGCUGAUUGAUUUUGCUCUCAAGCCUGCUGAGCUGGACAGGUGGGUGGGGAUGGCCUGUCAUAGCUACACAUGGUGGCUGGAAGACACGCUUGCCAGACAGCUCAGUCACCCGGCUGUCCACUGAGACGCUUUCCCUGUGGUCCUCUGUAGGCUGGGAUUUCCUUCCAACCUGGUGCCUGAGUUCCAGUGUGGUAACCCAGAGUCUGAGGCCCCAGAAUGCAUUUCUGUUCCAUGCAAUGUCUAGCAUCAGUGAAGCUAAUCUAGCUUCAAGGGGAGAAACAGUCUACCUCUCCAUGGGAACAAUAACAAAGAGUGUGUGGCCAUCUUCAGUCACCCACAUCCAUUCUACGGAUGAGGAGUCGGAGGUCUCAGUGGCCUCCGGGACUUUCUCAGACUGAGCAGCAGAAAUCCAAACCAGAACUCAGAUCUGAGUCAGCUCCAAGAACCAGCCCUUCCGACUCAGCAAGCUGAUGUGGAUGGUUGGUUGGCUUUGCUAACAGGGCGUACCUUCAGAAAUAGGCCCAGCAAGGCCAUUAAAAAUAAGGCAGUGUUUGAGUUUCCUAAGAUGGUUUGAAUUUCCCAAAGCAUUCCGUUUCUCUCUGAAAGCCAAACUUGGGCUGUCUACACGGGCAGCUAAGACUUCAUCGGAGCAAACCUCAGGCUCAGGCGAAGAAUGUGAGGUGGAACAGAGGGGCAGUCCCUGAACUUGAACUUCCCUUCUCUUUGUCAAGUAUUUUUAUGUCAGCGUACCUUCACUGGGCCAGCUGGAGACAGGGUUGCGCCUUGUGCGUAAAGAAAUAGGUGCAGGCUGGGCAGUGGUGGUUCACACCUUUAAUCCUAGCACUUGGAAGGCAGAGGCAGGCGGUUACUGAGGAACCACACAAGGAAAUCACCUCAGGGUUGAAGGGGAUUGAAACCUCGCAUGGACUCCGCUCUCCAAGACUGGGUCAUCUGCAAUCUGGAUGCCAGCCGUGAAGUUAUACAAGGUGGCCAGUGGAGCCUGGCUGGCCCCAGGAGACAAAUACCUUCCAAACAAAGGCAUCUGAGUAUCGCAAGGAAAGGUUGAACAUUUCAAGGGGAAGAUGGAGAAGAUUUCACAAAGCCCAGCAUCUCUGCUAACUACAUAUAUAUUGGGACAGGGUCGUGUGUAUCCCUGGCUGGCCCCCACACCCUGGCCAACUGUUUGUAGAUACUAGUACUUGGACUAGGGGAGGGCUUUGCCGUUGCCUCAGCCUCUCAUUCAAGGAAGGUCUUGCCACUCCCACGGGUCUGAGGCACUGGGGUCCUUGACAUGGCUGGGCCCAUGUCCAACCCUCAGGGCUUCAUGAGCGCUUUAUACAGUCACUCAAUAGUGAGACCCUGACUCAAAACCACAACACCCCCCCCCCAAACCAACACUAAAAGCAAAACAUGCCUUCAACAUGGUGACAUUUAAAAAAGAUGUUGAAGAUUUGAUGCCAUCGUGUGUAAUGUGACUGGGGGUGUUGCUCAGCGGUAGAGUGGGUAAGCUUGACAUAUGCAGGACUCUGGGUUCCACCCUCAGCAGCAAGAUAAAUAAACAAGGAAAGGAAAUUAAAAACUGUACAAAAACGAAAAUUGAGCCACAAAGCACUGAAUAUUAAUUCUUAUCAGCCAACUAAGCUUUGAAGUGGAGUCGUGUAAAAUACCAGUUCACUGUUGGGUCUUGCAGAAGCCAUGGCAUUGGUAUCAGGUACCGCUAAGUAGUUGGGAAAGCUGCAUUCCCAGGGUAUGAGUCUGAAUGGUUUUACUCCUUCUCUGACAUUCCCACCCUCCUAUGAUUUAUUUGUGUAGAGUCAUCUUGUGAAUUUCCCUGGAAUGAGAGUCAAAGUCUGAGGCUUGAUUUAUAGAGAGGUUCAACACAUUUGGAAACAAUGAACUCUGUUGCGUAAACACGUAAGAGCCAGGACAGAAAGCUGAAUCCCUGAUUGUGGCCACAGAGGGUGGGGAAGGGAGGCCGCCAGAAUCUUGUUCAGUUCUUGAGUUUUCUUACAGUUGUCUGGAGAGCCAGGGCAGGGGAAUUCCUGGGGGCCAUGGUUCCCGUAGCUGCUCUCAGGGAGCGGGAGAUGGCUGUUGAGAGGCUGGGAUUGUGGUUUCUUUCUGGAAAGAGGAAGAAAUAGUUUGGAGGCCACCACCAAAGAACAGCUGCUUCAUAGCUCUACAGAGUGGAAAAGAUAGGAAUUCCCUGGGAUCUUGGAGGCCUUGGGUCCUCGAUGGGACAAGUCAGCCUAGAUGCUCUGAUGAGUGCCAGGACUCCCUGGCUGACUUGUACUGUCAGGUUCAGCUGUGGAGGCCAAGUUCCUCCUGAGUCAGUUUUCCUGGGCAAUGGGUGCACUGUAGUCCCAGCUUCUUUAAGCUAUCCUUGAAUCCUGGGGGAGGGGCAGGCUCAUGUCCCCCACACAAGCCCUUGUGUGUUGGUCCACUCCUUGCACAUGGUCUGAGACGGGCUCUUGUUCAUUGCUUUAAAUACCAGGUCAGCUAGUCUGUGAGAUUCUGGGAAUUCUGUCUCCACCUCCUAUCAUGCCCCAGGAGAUCUGGGAUUACAGAUGGGCAUGGGCACAGCCAGCUUUGCGUGGGUUCUGGGGAUCUAGCUUGGGACAAGGAAGCCCUAAGAUGGAUCCUGCCUUGCUCUUGGACUUUGCUGCACCCAAGCUUCCUUCUUCAUUGAGUUCAAGAGAUUGAGAACAGGAACUGCCCAUCUGGAUAUCUGGAGCAGAAUGGGUACCUGUUAAAUCACUUCCCCUGGGAACCCCUAAGGGACAUCUUUAGCAGGCAUGUCCAACUUGCAGUGCACAGGCCACAGAUAUUCCAGGAUAGCAGUGACUAUAGCUACAAUGGAUGACAAUGUCAUAUUACAAUGUUAAAUGGCUGGACCACACUUGCAUCGAAUGCAUUUAUCCAGCAUGCAUAAGUUGAAGUCUUACUGUGUGCCAUGCACUGAUCAGGGGUCAGUGACACUUCAAGGAGGAAGACAGGUCUGCUCUUGAUUUAAAAGAAAGAGCCGUGCAGCAAUGGCGCAUGCCUUUAAUCCCAGCACUUGGGAGGCAGAGCCAGGUGGAUCUCCGUGAGUUCGAAGCCAGCCUGGUCUACAGAGCAAGAUCCAGGACAGGCACCAAAACUACACAGAGAAACCCUGCUUCGAACCCCUCCCUCACAAAAAAGACUUAUAAGCCGGGACUAAGCAUAGGCAGUAAUAACCGAACAGACCAUCUAAGACAAGGCCAGGGAGUGGGAAGGAUCAUGAAGGAAAAGCAAGAGGGCUAGAGUGAUGUCUUAGUGGGUAAGGCUCUUGCCUGCAAGCAGGACGACUUGAGUUUGAAUCCCCAGAACCCAUGUAAAGCUGGCUGUGCCUAUGCACAUCUGUAAUCCCAGAUCUUCUGCAGCAUUAUGGGAGGUGGAGACAGAAAUCCCAGAAUCUUACAGGCUACCUAACCUGGCAUAUAAAUAAAGCAGUGAACAAGAGCCCCUGUCUCAAAUAAGACAGCAGAAGGGGACCAACACACAAGAACGUCCUUUGACCCCAUACAUAUGCCAUCUCCCCUCACAGGAUUAAAGGAAACCAUAGGGUGACAGAAGAACAUAAAGACAAUUAAGCAAGAUACAGAAGGAGAGAGAUGUAGGCGGGUGGGUGCUACCUCAGGAGAGGUGGUCAAGGAAGGAGGCCAGACUCUCCUCUAAGGUGCCUUAGCCUCUGUGCCUAUGAUUCCCUAGACCAAAGGUUCCCAUCUGGGGGUGAUUUUUCAGCUCAGAGGAUAUUAAUAAUGACUGUCUAGAGAUGUUAUUUCCAGGAGAAAUAGGUGACUCCUAGCAUAUGGUAGGAGGGACCAAGGAUGAUCCCACUCCCAAUGUCAAUAGUGUUGAGGUUGAGACAUAUUGAGUUUACUGCCAGACCACAGGCCAGAGUCAGCUCUGAGCCCAGGCUCUUCCUCUCUCUUUGAGCAGGGAGGUAUUUAUGAUGGGAUAUGAAAAAGGUUCUGCAAUCAUGUGGAGAGAUGAUGAAUCAGGCUCUCAGGAUGACUCUCAAAGCCACAGCCCUGGAACAAGCCACCAGAGGAAUGACUGCCUCUCUCAGCCCCCUCCAGCCGCUGUAGGGCAUCCUCUCACGUACCCAAAACAGAGUGAUAAUUAAAAGAUUGUCCUUUAAAAUGUAUAACUCACAAGUUUUCAACAUAUUCACUAAGGUGUACAAACAUCACCACUACCUAUGUCUAGUUCAAUUUUAAUUUUGAGACAAGGUAUCACGUAGCCCAGGCUAGCCUUGAACUUGUUAUGUACCUGAGGCUGGGCUUGAUCUUCCUAUCUCUACCUCUAGAGUUCUAAGAUUACAGGCAUAUGUGAUGCUGGAGGGCCUUAUGCAUGCUGGCAAGCACUUGACCAACUGAGCCACAUCCCUAGUCUGCUCACAACAUUUUAAUCACUACCCUGCCCUCCCCGCUCAAAACAGCAAUUACCCAUUAGUCCCUCUUCUUCCCUCUUCUCCCAGGCCCCAGCAAUCUACUUUUUCUCUCUAGGCAUUGCUUGUAAAUGGAAUCACACAAGUUGUGUGCUGUGACAGAUUUUCCAUACAGUGUUUCAAGUUCAUCCCAUGUGGUAGCAUGGGUUAACCUUUCAUUCAUUCCUAUGGGAGAACAAUACUUCAUUGACUGAAAUACUGUUUCCUGUGAGCAUUCAUCCAUUGAUGAGCAUCUAAGUUGCUAGCACCUCUGGCUAUUUGAACAUUCAUGGCCAAGUUUGUGCAGACUGAGGCUUUCACACUCGUGGAUCCACAUACAGUAGCAGGAUGGUGGGGUGUCUGCGGGUCUUGGUUUUGUGAUCAUAAACCUGGGAGAUCUGUCUGGCUGGUUUUGGGAUCCUUAUGAGUUGAGAUUCUGGGCCACCUCAGUCCCCAACUGUUUCCCAUGAGGCAUGCUUUGAACUUCCAUCCUAGACACAAUAUGCCCCAAUCCUGGGAGGGCUUUCCUAUACCCAGCCUGAGUUCCCACGCACACAGCCUCACUAUGUCCAUCGACAAGCUGACACUGACUUCUCAAUCCUUAGAAAUUUGACAGUGUCUUUGGGGGACAUCUACCAGCUAAUCUUCUUCUAUUAUCAUAUCAAGAUGGGGAAACAAAUUCUGACUGUACUCUCCAAGGCUUCCUUAAAAUACUGAGUACAGUUGAAGCUAAACUGCAUAUUUUUAAAAAAGUUAAAAUUGGGACUGGAGAGAUGGCUCAGCAAUUAAGAGCAAUGGCUGUUGUCUUCGUUAGGGUUUUUUAUUGCUGUGAAGAGACACCAUGACCACAGCAACUCUUAUGAAGAAAAACAUUUAAUUGAGGGGGCAGCUUCCAGUUUCAGAGGUUCAGUCCACUAUCAUCAUGACUGGGAACACAUGGUGUUUAGGCAGACAUGGUGCUGGAGUUGAGAGUGCUAUAUCCUGCAGGCAACAGGAAGUCAACCGAGACACUUAGUGGUAUCCUGAGCAUAGGAAACCUCAAAGCCCACCCCACAGUGACACACUUCCUCCAACAAGGCCACACCCACUCCAGCUGAGCCACACCUCCUAAUAGUGCCACUCCCUAUGAGAGUAUGGGGGCCAAUUACAUUCAAACUACCACAGUUGCUCUUCCAGAGAACCCAAGUUCUGUUCCCAGCACCCACAUGGGGUUCACAAGCAUCUAUAGCCACUUCUGGAGACCUGACACCCUCUUCAGGUCUCCCUAGGUACUGCAUGCAUAUGAUGCACAUGCAGUCAAAACAUUCAUAUACACAUAAAAUAGAUAAAUCUUAGAAAAAAGUUAUAAUUAUGAACAAGACUACUAUUUUUCAAAGAAAAUGUUUUUCAGGGGUUUCUUUCUUUCUUUCUUUCUUUCUUUCUUUUUUUUUUGCGACAAGGUUUCUCUGUGUAGUUUUGGUGCCUGUCCUGGAUCUCACUCUGUACACCAGGCUGGCCUUGAACUCACAGAGAUUCACCUGGCUCUGCCUCCCGAGUGCUGGGAUUAAAGGCGUGUGCCACCACCGCCCAGCUCAGGGGUUUCUUUAUGAAAGUCAAGUCAUUUGUUCAUUGUAAUCUGAGCCCCGUCCUUAGUGAGGAUGGUUGCUUUAAGGACACCAACUUGAUCCGCUUAAGCUAAUGGUGUAGGAGGUAAUAACACCCCACCAUUGCAGAGCUAGCCCUGGAGCGGCCACUUCUGAUCAUUUUAACAACCAGACUGAUCCCUCUAAACACGGAAUGGAAGUUACCCUCAACCCUGGGAGCAUGUUUCCAAUCAUUUAUUGCGGACUGCGUCAGUUUUUGGGGUUUGAUCGUUUAUGAGCUGCACACUCAGCCGAAGAGGGCUUCCCACACUGGCUAGCAUGAACAGCGACUGCACAGCAGCCAAGAGGCAGACUGAGUGGACAGAAGGGUUGACAAUAACGUUUCAGCCAUCCCAGCCCUCAAGCGAGUCAGCAGAUGGAAGUUGUCUGACCGCAACAAACAUUUAUUGCACAUUUUCUUCAAACACAUGAUGCAUACUUAGACAGAGCUCAGUAUUAAGAGGGUGUAUUGGUCAGGGUAGGCUACGUUAUGCUGCAGUAACAAACAGCCCCACCAAGUGUCGGAGGUCUUCAAUAACAGCUCCUUACUCUUACUGGGGCUCCAUUCAUCUGACCUCACUAAGGGAGUUAAGCUUUCCUCUGAGGACUGUUGACCAGAGAGAAGAGGUAUUUCCGGGCUGGCUUUGUUGUUUGGUUGCCAUGCUACCUAAUUAAUUUCUACUCUACAGUCAGAGGGUUUCAUGUAACAUGAGCUCCCCACUAAGAAGCUGUGUAAAGGAAUGACCAUGCUUUCUUCUACUUUCCCAGACUGCUCUGCUGUCUCAGGGCCAGGCAUGGAGCAGGCAACCCAAAUCGUCAAGGACAGAGGACGCACAGACAGAGCUGCACACAGGGGUUUGAAUCCUGUGUCUGCUGCUCUUGAGCUGUGAGACAUGCACAGUUUUCUUAAUUUCUCUGUGUCUCACUUUUCUCACUUAUAGAGUGGAAAAUAAUCAUGCCCCCUCCUGGUAUACGAGGUGACCCGAUGCCUGUGACAUGCUAAGUAGGUCUUUUGGCCUAUCACCGGUACUGUUUGUUUUUGAUAAGUGAAUAGUGGUGACUGGUGCCUUCUCAGCAUCGAUUUAGGGUAUGAACUCAGCACUGCCCCCCCAUGUUUUAUUGUCUUCACAGCUCAAUAUGACAAUGGCCAUUUUACAGAUAUGGAAACUGAGGCCAGGAGCGGUAACUUAUCCAGGAUCCCUAACUAUAGUCAUGUGUUGCUUACUGAUAGGGAUACAUUCUGGGAAAUUUAUGUGUGCGAGUUUUUUGUUUUUGUUUUGUUUUUGUUUUUUUUUUGUGUGUGCAAAUAUUAGACACAAAAUAAGACAGCCAUGAUGUCAUGGGGUCAUGUGAAUCAGCAUUUAUGGUGAUAUCAUCAGACAUGGGGUACAUUUUCAAAGGCUAAAAUGUUCUACAGUGAGUGACUUCGUCAGAAAUGGAGCCAGAAUCUGGAUCCAGAUCUUUCUGACCCUGGGGCUGACACCCUGCCUUGGAAGAGCAGAACUUCUCUUUGCAGAAUUCAGCCAACAGGCAGGGGCAGAAAGCACGUCUGCCCCCUCCCAUCCUCAUGUGAUGGGAGUCUUACUAUGCAGCCCAGGCUGACCUUCAACUCUCACUGGUCCUCCUGCAUUGACUCUGGAGUGUGGGGUUCCAGGCAUGCGUCACCACGCUUGGUUGCCCACUUUUCUUGGCUCAGUAUGUUGCAGUCUCUGUCAUCAGCCACCGCUUCACAUGCUUGGCUCUGAGAGGAGACUCCCCGGUCCUCUCACCUCUCACUUUCCUUGGAGUCCUGUCUCUGGGAAUGGCUCUCAGCAUCCAGCAGCCCCCACCACCCUUUAGUGCUUCUUGGGUAAAAUAAUUCAGCAGAGGCCAGAGACACUCCUCCUCAUCGCCUGCAUGUGUUACCCAAGUGGCUGCCAUGUGGUCCACCCAACCUCUUGGCCCAUGGCACUAUGUUUAAGCCCAGAAUCCUGUUGUCUGGCUCCUGACAGGGCAGCUGUGUGUGGAGCUGACUUAGGUGUUUCCUCUCUUGACCUCAGUCUUAUUUGGGGGGUGGCUGGAGUUGGGGGUGAGAGCAGUCUCUUUCGGCCUCCUUCUUCCUUGGUUUAGUUCAGAUCUUUCUUGAUUGUUUUCCUGGGCUGAGGACUACAUGAAUGAGGUGCCAAGGCCAGUUCCGCCAGUGAACACCCGUGAAGCAGCUUCCGUGUCAUCACACUCAAGAAUGAUGGACAGUCAUUCCCCAAGACAUGCUCACAUGUCUAGCAGAGCCCAACAGAGGGUUUGGUGUAGCAGAAAUGCACGCUGCCCUCUCCUGUAGAUUCAGGGCUGUCCAAGGGUCAGCGAGUCCCCCAAAAGUUUAGCAUACACCCACUGUGUGUGCCAGGCUCUGUUCUAGGUACUGGGAGAACAUCUGUCAAGACAAGGUCCCACAUCUGCAGAGCUCACAUCCAGGCAGGGGGAGACAGGUCUGUUACAGGCUAUCCGAAGUUGGGACAAAGAUACCACACAUGGUCUCACUCAGAGGCAGCCUGAAGUCUGAAAGCAGGGGCCUGGGGUAGGGGUUGCAGCUCAGCAGGUAGAUGCUUGUCUAGCAUGCACGGGGCCCUGGGUCUAUCUCCUGCACUGCAUGGUUGUACACCCCUGUCAUUCCAACAUUUGAGGGGAAUUGAGGCAGGAGGACUGGAAGUUCAAGGUUAACCUCAGCUACAUAGUGAGUGAGAGGCUAAUCUGUGCAGAAGCCUGACCUCUGGAUGGGAAAACACAGGUUGGGGGUAGGGUAUCUGAGGCAGGCAGGGCUGUCCUGGACUAAGGCUUUUGGAGGCUUGUUUGCAGGUGUGUGGUACUGGGGUGUCGGGCACUACAGGCCUCCAAAGAGAGAAGGGGCCUGGGCCAGCACCAGCUGAAUGCUGGGAAGGAGCCUGCCUGGCAUUUCCCCUGUGCUGAGGGGUCGGGGUGGGGGGAGAAGAGGUGGAUCCAGGAGAGAAGGAGGGGGUUCGUUGGGAAGGGGGUCUCCCCACGGGGUGGAGAGAGGACCCAAACAUGGAAGCAACUGUGGACAGAGGAACAGCAGGGAGACCAGAGGGCCUGCGGAGAGUCCACUGACAGCUGCUGAGGUUCUGUUGCACUCUGGUUCUGGAGAAAGCUAGAAUCCCUGCGGCCCCUCCCUCCCCACAGGAUCCUGUGACAUGAGGACCCCUGGCUGACCCCAGACAGCAGGGCGCCUCAAGUAGCCUGCCGGAGAGUGAGUCUAGGAUGGCCCUCCAUGCCAGGCUGUGUCCUAGGGACCGGGCAGAGAACAGUGGAGGCCUGGGUGAGGUUCGGCAAAUGCCACUGAUAUAAUGACUUGUGAACAAAAGGUCAGGCCCAAGGCACGAUGUUUGAUUACACAGAGAAAACCAAUCUCGUUUUUAAUUUCCUCAGGUGGAGUGCGGGCCGUGUGGGUUCACAGGGUGCUGGUGAUGGAGGAGAGGCAGCCUGGGCCGGGGUGGGGGGGGAAUCACUUGCCAGAGGGCCACCCAGAGGACACUUCCGUGGACAUCAAGUACAGAUGAGUCUUUAGCCAUAGACAGCAGGGGAAAGAGGAAGAACAAAGCAAAGGAUUUGGGGAGACUUACUCUGCACCCCAGCACUGUUCAGCACUCAGUAUUCAGCACUUUAAGUCUUCACAAUGGCUGGAACUGGGUCCUCCCAGUAGUCUCAUCUCUGGUUUGUAGCCAAGCACAGAAAUGCAGAGAGGAGCUAAGUAAGUGGUCCCAGGCCACACAGCUAAAACAGGUGGGAGAGCUGGGUCGAAGACGUCGAGGCAGAUCCUGGCUCUCCGUCCUUCCUUCACUGUUAGCAGAGCCGACAGGGUCAAAGCGUGCACCCUGGCAGUCCUAGCUAGCUAGGUCUGGCCACCUGUCCCCUGCAGGCCAAUUAAAGGCACAAGUCAUAGUGAAAAGCAGGGAAAGGAGGUUUAUUCAGUGUGGCCACAUUCAGGAGAGGAACAGAUAACAGAGAGAUCCAGCCAGGCAGUGGUGGUGCGCGCCUUUAAUCCCAGGCGGAUCUCCGUGAAUUUGAGGCCAGCCUGGUCUAC